GGGAGAGCCGAGGUACACCUAGGUGCACUUCACAGCCACCUAGAAGCUUGUUUUCCAAAAAGGCACAGGCCGGCACCCCCCCACAAAGAGAUUGACACAGUGGGUCUGAAAUGGAUUCCGGACACUUGCAAAAACAAAACAAAACAAAACAAAAAAACCGAAAACGUGAGAAUGGUUCAGAGGCCCUGAAAAUUACUUUAGCUAUGUGUUAGGGGCAGGGCUGAAAAGAAGAGGCCCACCCCAGCCUUUGCAGUCAGUGCCCAAAGCGGACUGUAACAUGCGGAUGUUUCUUUAUACAGUGCUUGUGUUCCCCUGUGCAAUCUCAAAAAUGGUCCAUCCCUGUAUUUUCUGUUUGUGACGUCAUCUACUGCUACAUACAAAAUCGAAGCCUCACACUAGCAUGGUUUGGUUCCUGACUUAAUCCCAGGGAAACUGACUCUGUGGCAUGGGUUUUCUUUGCCUUCUAACCAUGAAGAUCUCUCCCGUAGUCAAUGGAGAAGACAUUAUCCCAUCUUCAAAGAGUCUGACAUGUAAUAAACAUAUUUAAUAAGUGGGACCCUGGAUGAGAAGAAAGAAGCAAUAUUCAAAUGUAUGAUGGCCUACAUUUUUGACCCAUCGGAGACUCACGUGAAAAAAGAAAAGCAGGAUUUCGCGUUGGCAUCAGCAUCUACUAUAUAGUAGGCACUCUGUUCCAUGUCUCACCCUCUGAACAACCAGCCUGAAGCGAUCUGGUUUAAUUAAGGGUACCAAGGAAACUAUGAAGAAACCAGGUACAAACAUCACGCAAGGAUCUUGCAAGAAUUCGAGUCCAAACUACUAUGUCAAAGAGUAAUGGCUGUCUUCGCAUGCAGGCUGCCCAUGGGGGCUGUGAUAUCCACGAGUGUGGGGUAGAAAAACGUACAUAUAUGACCAAGAGUCUGGGUCAGAUCCAGACUGGAUAAUCAGUCCUCAAUUAAUUAAUAGCUGCCUCCUCUCUCUAUAUAUUAUUUUAUAUUUCGAAAAACAGAAAGACUCACUUAUCUACAUAGGUGUGCUAGAAUGAGGUACAUCUCUUAGAGAGGAAUGGGCUGUGGUUUUCUGAUUUCGUAUUUUCUCCUUUCCUCUAAUGGUGGAAGUCGAAAUAAAUAUUCAGACCUAGGACUCAGCGUGUAGAAAACACUUUAGGAAAUAAUUUACUGUUUUGAACAUUCAAGGUGCAGCCUGCUUCAUGGGAAGUGCUGAAAAGCUCAGCUUCUUUUCAUGUUUUGCCUCUUUCGGGGUUUUAAAAUACUCUUUCAAUUCUUUAGGUUAUAGGAGAGAGGGCUCGAGGGCUUGAAUGUCUGUAAGCUGAGAGACAGGUUUUUAAAAUUAUGGUGCACCUUGAUUCAGUGAAAGAAGUAAGUGCUGACUUUUCCCUUUUGCGUCUUUGGGAUUGGUAUCUGCAGCCAACAUCUAUAAAUAAAUCUCGUCGUAGGAGAUUCAGCGAGGCACAAAAGCACGGCAGUGGUCCAUAUCAGACGCUCGCUCGAUAUCUAUCUAGUUGGAAUAGAAAAGAAAGUGCCAAACAAGAAGCACCAUCAGGAGUUCAGAGGGGGCCUCUUUUGGAGGCUGCAGCAAGAUGAGGGAAGUUCAAAGAGAAGAGGAGGUGGUCUUGCUGGGUCCUGAAGCAAACCUGUGACGAAGGUCACAGGAGAGAGAAGAAAGGGGGAUCCAGGAAUCAAAGCUCAGCUGGGCCUGCCGAUGCCCGUCAAUACUGAGAGGUCGCUGUGAGAGGCAAAUCAGAGGGGUGACUGCCAAAUAAGGAAUUCCAAACGUGCUCAUUUACUCAAGAGGAGACUUUAUUGUCCUCAGAAUCCGGGAAGAAAAGAAACUAAAUUAAUAAAAGUUUCAUCAAAUGUCUAAAAGUGUCACAUGCUAACGCAGCAUCACGACUGAACUCAGCCCUGAUGUAGUGAUCGAUUACUGUAGAGGGUGGGGGGGGGUAUCUGAACGUGCUUGACCUAACGGGGGAGGGGGCACCUCCAAAAGUAAGAGCGUCUGGGAUCCAGCCCUGGGCUACGUGAUACGUGGAGUUACUCCGAGACACAUGCUUUUAGGGGCUAUGGUAUAUACAAUAUUAUAUAUAUAUUAUAUUAUAUAUACAUAUAAGAGCAAGAUCUUUAUUAGCGCAGAAUAGUAUCUGAACUAUAUUUCGAAAAUGACUGUUUGCUCAGGGUUUCCAGACAUGAAUUAAAUUAUUGUAUUAUGGUUAGUACAAUUUGUCACAUUCUUCUUCUCUUGCUUGGCUAAUUCUGGUUCUUCCUCAAAGAUGUUGGUUUUAAAGAUUUACUACCAAUCUCCAAAACUAAGGAGCAGGCCAAAAUCUUGGUUCUUAAAAGACUGUAAAGCACAGUGAUCUUUCAGAAUUACCCAGAGACACAUCACAGAAGACAGGAAGAAAAGAGGUCAAGUGGGCAUCUGAAUGCACAGACGCAUUUGUAACAGGGAGCUCCUUCUCGAAAGCUGACUGCGUGGCAGACACGUCCCCGUGUACCUCGCACAUGCGAGUCCCUUAAUUUGGAAUAAAUGAACGGCCGCUGUGAUCUCAUUGCCGGCUCCUCUUUUUCCCUCACCCCUGGCCCCCACUCGGCUUUUCACUUCAUCAUUGAGGAUUUAAAUAUCUGCUUUUGGCUCACUCCUCCCCAGUUUACGUUAUUUUCUGUGUCUUUUUUCCUGUGGCUGCAAGACAGCUUCACCUGUAACAUGAAAGAGGGGAGAGAGCGUUCCCAGCACCAGCUC